rnacentral:rRNA from 1 species
UAAUACGGAGGAUCCAAGCGUUAUCCGGAAUCAUUGGGUUUAAAGGGUCCGUAGGUGGACAAAUAAGUCAGAGGUGAAAUCCUGCAGCUCAACUGUAGAACUGCCUUUGAUACUGUUUGUCUUGAGUUAUUAUGAAGUGGUUAGAAUGUGUAGUGUAGCGGUGAAAUGCAUAGAUAUUACACAGAAUACCGAUUGCGAAGGCAGAUCACUAAUAAUUAACUGACACUGAGGGACGAAAGCGUGGGUAGCGAACAGGAUUAGAUACCCUGGUAGUCCGCGCCGUAAACGAAGGUCACUAGCUGUUUGGACUUCGGUCUGAGUGGCUAAGCGAAAGUGAUAAGUGACCCACCUGGGGAGUACGUUCGCAAGAAUG